GACGAACGCUGGCGGCGUGCUUAACACAUGCAAGUCGAACGGAAAGGCCCUGCUUUUGUGGGGUGCUCGAGUGGCGAACGGGUGAGUAACACGUGAGUAACCUGCCCUUGACUUUGGGAUAACUUCAGGAAACUGGGGCUAAUACCGGAUAGGAGCUCCUGCUGCAUGGUGGGGGUUGGAAAGUUUCGGCGGUGGGGGAUGGACUCGCGGCUUAUCAGCUUGUUGGUGGGGUAGUGGCUUACCAAGGCUUUGACGGGUAGCCGGCCUGAGAGGGUGACCGGCCACAUUGGGACUGAGAUACGGCCCAGACUCCUACGGGAGGCAGCAGUGGGGAAUAUUGCACAAUGGGCGGAAGCCUGAUGCAGCGAUGCCGCGUGCGGGAUGACGGCCUUCGGGUUGUAAACCGCUUUCGCCUGUGACGAAGCGUGAGUGACGGUAAUGGGUAAAGAAGCACCGGCUAACUACGUG
rnacentral:rRNA from 1 species